CCUUUUGUGAUGGAACCGGCAUCUCACAAGCCACAAUUUAGUCUGGCGCUGUUUUAUUCGGGAAGCGUGGACGCCUUCGGACGGAUGCGGUGCUGCAGAAUCAGGAGGAACUGGAAGGAAAAAAGAAGAUGCUGGGACCUACAAAGCCUCUCCUAAUCCUUUUGGCAUGUCCUGUUGAGGAGAGCACCCCCAACUGUUUUCAGUCCCCAGAUCCUUGGGUCCAUAGAGGCCACUGUUAUCUAGAGCUGUAAGGUCCUGGCAACCUGACUCUCCUGUUUCUGAUUCUUCAGAUUCCAGAAGCCUAUUCCAAGUCUGAUAGAGCUGCUGGCCGGGCGGCAAAAGGAGAAGAUGUGAAAGGUACCGCUUCCCAUUGCUGUACUGGGUGACAUCCCCCAGUACACCUGGGUCACCCAAUGCAGUCCUCAUCUCGCACCCAGUUGUGUCUCUUGGGCUGGUGUCACCCAGUGUGGAAAAUCAUGGCGUCACUCCCUCUCCAAUUGACCUUUAAAAAACAACCUGGGGUCUCUCCUUUCUUCAACCCACUGAGCUUCAACCCACUCACCCCAUCUCUUCAGCAUUUUAAAGAGCUGGUUUCUUCCAAAAACCAGAUGUUUGAGAAGCCACCUUUCACCCCCCCUAAUGAUGCACUGUCCCUAUGGGCCCUGAUCUGGGCAAGGUGGCCAGAUGUGCUAACCACAAAGGAGGACAAGGCACCAUAAA